CAGUCGCCGCGGGAAUACGAAGGGGGCUAGCGUUGUUCGGAUUUACUGGGCGUAAAGCGCACGUAGGCGGACUUUUAAGUCAGGGGUGAAAUCCCGGGGCUCAACCCCGGAACUGCCUUUGAUACUGGAAGUCUUGAGUAUGGUAGAGGUGAGUGGAAUUCCGAGUGUAGAGGUGAAAUUCGUAGAUAUUCGGAGGAACACCAGUGGCGAAGGCGGCUCACUGGACCAUUACUGACGCUGAGGUACGAAAGCAUGGGGAGCAAACAGGAUUAGAUACCCCCGUAGUCCCUGUCUCUUAUAC
rnacentral:rRNA from 1 species